GGAGACCCAGGCUCAGGCUUGGAAACUAACUCAACCAAGCCACCCGAGACCUUGACUGUAACGAAAGCUAAUCAAUACAAAUAUCACAAAGAAGCAAGAGAAUUCAUGUGAAAAGUAAAGAUGAUGAAAAUACAUUUUUCAUUAAUCAAAAAGUUUAUUUACAAAAUUUUGCCAAAGAGAGGGCACUAAAAAUAAACACACAAAAAAAAAGAAAGAAUCAGUCUUCAUUCGAAGAAAACACCCCA
rnacentral:lncRNA from 1 species